GAUGAAGAACGUAGCGAAAUGCGAUAAGUAAUGUGAAUUGCAGAAUUCAGUGAAUCAUCGAAUCUUUGAGCGCACAUUGCGCUCCCUGGUAUUCCGGGGAGCAUGCCUGUUCGAGCGUCAUUACAACCCUCAAGCUCUGCUUGGUGUUGGGCCCCGCCGCCCCGGCGGGCCCUAAAGUCGGUGGCGGUGCCGUCCGGCUCCGAGCGUAGUAAUUUUUCUCGCUUUGGAGGCCCGGGCGCGUGCUUGCCAUCAACCCCCAAUAUUUUUCAGGUUGACCUCGGAUCAGGUAGGGAUACCCGCUGAACUUAAGCAUAUCAAUAAGCGGAGGA
rnacentral:misc_RNA from 1 species